rnacentral:rRNA from 1 species
GAUGAACGCUAGCUACAGGCUUAACACAUGCAAGUCGAGGGGAAACGACAUCGAAAGCUUGCUUUUGAUGGGCGUCGACCGGCGCACGGGUGAGUAACGCGUAUCCAACCUGCCCAUCACUUGGGAAUAACCUUGCGAAAGUAAGACUAAUACCCAAUGAUAUCCCACGAAGGCAUCGGAAUGGGAUUAUAGAUUUAUCGGUGAUGGAUGGGGAUGCGUCUGAUUAGCUUGUUGGCGGGGUAACGGCCCACCAAGGCAACGAUCAGUAGGGGUUCUGAGGGGAAGGUCCCCCACAUUGGAACUGAGACACGGUCCAAACUCCUACGGGAGGCAGCAGUGAGGAAUAGUGGUCAAUGGGCGAGAGCCUGAACCAGCCAAGUAGCGUGCAGGAAGACGGCCCUAUGGGUUGUAAACUGCUUUUAUAAGGGAAUAAAGUGGGUCACGUGUGACUUUUUGCGUGUACCUUAUGAAUAAGGACCGGCUAAUUCCGUG